UACGUAGGUGGCAAGCGUUGUCCGGAAUUAUUGGGCGUAAAGCGCGCGCAGGCGGUCCUUUAAGUCUGAUGUGAAAGCCCACGGCUCAACCGUGGAGGGUCAUUGGAAACUGGAGGACUUGAGUACAGAAGAGGAAAGCGGAAUUCCACGUGUAGCGGUGAAAUGCGUAGAGAUGUGGAGGAACACCAGUGGCGAAGGCGGCUUUCUAAAGUUUAAUUGACGCUGAGGCACGAAAGCGUGGGGAUCAAACAGG
rnacentral:rRNA from 1 species